AGUUGCCGGUUAUCCGCGGUCUGGAGAGCUUAGGUGGAAAGGCUGAGAUGCUCAGAGGUCAUUUGGGAUGAGCGUGGAGCAAGAGGGCCCUUUUCAGAGCAGACUGUCCUAUCAGAAGGUUAUCCAGUAGUGCCCCGCGGGAGCGCCUGCCCGGGGGAUCUGGGUCAGGCCGUCUUGUUCUUUGAGCCUUUCGGUGAAAUGAAGUGUGGCCCAGUACCUUCUCACUGUCACUUCUCUAGCUUUCUGCCUCGUGUUAGAUAAUUGAGUUGAAGAGACAGAGAAGACGUGGAUGCAGCAUGUGAAGACCAUUCUUUCAAGAAGUUUGGCUGUAAAGGAGAAGAGAAAGGUGCUAAAGACCAUAUAGGCAUGGAGCAGACAGGCCCUCUUUGCUGCCACAUAGAGGCUUGUCUAAAAUUGAAGCUAAAGAAGCCAACCUGGAAGACAGAAAUCAAGUCCUGAUGACAGUAUUUGAGCCCAGGAAUCCAGACAGGCCUAAAAACUAGCUUUACCACUGGACUUCCCAGUUAAAUGAGCCAAUAAACUCUCUUUUAUGCUAAACUUGGGUUUUUUCUGGAUUUUUGUCAUUUACUACUCAAAAUAUCCUAAUGCAUCCUAAUACAUCAUUAAAUCAACAUUGUUUCUUCUAUGCCUUGUUUUAAAUUUGUUACUCUAUAAUGUACUCUA